UUAUUUUUCCACAGUGAAGGAUUUACAUCUCUUCGCCAGGCGCCUUAAUUUUAAAAAGAUCUAUCAUCAGAGGAGGGAUCCCAACUUUUCUACUAUAUUGGAACAGGAAGCACUAGCUAAUUUAAUAUCACUUUUGGAGGAACAGGAAACAGCAGAAAAAUCUGCCGUUGGUGGAGGGGUUACCAACACAUCUAAAGGACACAAUGGACAUUCUGAGGAAAAUGGAGGACAUACAUUUUGAACCUGAUAUGUUGAUUGCCACAUGCGACGUGGAAUCCCUCUACACUUCAAUUAAACAUCAUGAUGGGUUGGAAGCCACAGAGUUUUUCUUAAAGACCACGAGUAUGGGUGGCUCGCACGAAUGUCGAAUUUCUGGACGUAAAUCUUUCAGGUGGAUG